AUGAACGCUGGCGGCGUGCCUAAUCCCUGCAAGUCGAGCGAACGGACGAGAAGCUUGCUUCUCUGAUGUUAGCGGCGGACGGGUGAGUAACACGUGGAUAACCUACCUAUAAGACUGGGAUAACUUCGGGAAACCGUAGCUAAUACCGGAUAAUAUUUUGAACCGCAUGGUUCAAAAGUGAAAGACGGUCUUGCUGUCACUUAUAGCUGGAUCCGCGCUGCAUUAGCUAGUUGGUAAGGUAACGGCUUACCAAGGCAACGAUGCAUAGCCGACCUGAGAGGGUGAUCGGCCACACUGGAACUGAGACACGGUCCAGACUCCUACGGGAGGCAGCAGUAGGGAAUCUUCCGCAAUGGGCGAAAGCCUGACGGAGCAACGCCGCGUGAGUGAUGAAGGUCUUCGGAUCGUAAAACUCUGUUAUUAGGGAAGAACAUAUGUGUAAGUAACUGUGCACAUCUUGACGGUACCUAAUCAGAAAGCCACGGCUAACUACGUG
rnacentral:rRNA from 1 species